UGGCAGCAGUGAGGAAUAUUGGUCAAUGGGCGGAAGCCUGAACCAGCCAAGUAGCGUGCAGGAUGACUGCCCUAUGGGUUGUAAACUGCUUUUAUGCGGGGAUAAAGUGAGCCACGCGUGGCUUAUUGCAGGUACCGCAUGAAUAAGGACCGGCUAAUUCCGUGCCAGCAGCCGCGGUAAGG
rnacentral:rRNA from 1 species